rnacentral:tRNA from 1 species
GGCGCGAUGGCGGAGAGGCUACGCAGCGGCCUGCAAAGCCGUGUACACCGGUUCGAAUCCGGUUCGCGCCUCCA